rnacentral:rRNA from 1 species
UUUGUCUAACUAUAAAAGGUCAAGCCUGCCCAGUGACAUUGUUCAACGGCCGCGGUAUUCUAACCGUGCGAAGGUAGCGUAAUCACUUGUUUUUUAAAUGAGGACUAGUAUGAAUGGCUUCACGAAGGCUAUACUGUCUCCCUUAUCUAAUCAGUUAAACUAAUCUUCCCGUGAAGAAGCGGGAAUAAGCCUAUAAGACGAGAAGACCCUAUGGAGCUUUAAACACUUUCAAACAUUUGAUAUUUAACAUUUUUAACUUUCAGUAAAACUUCAUUAAACCCAUCAAUUUGUUCUAAGUUUUAGGUUGGGGUGACCACGGAGAACAACCAAACCUCCACGUAGAAAGAAUCUCUCUCUAAGCAAAAAGCUACAGCUUUACGCAUCAAAAUACUGACCUUAAUUGACCCA